rnacentral:rRNA from 1 species
GGCGUGCUUAACACAUGCAAGUCGAACGGAAAGGCCCUGCUUUUGUGGGGUGCUCGAGUGGCGAACGGGUGAGUAACACGUGAGUAACCUGCCCUUGACUUUGGGAUAACUUCAGGAAACUGGGGCUAAUACCGGAUAGGAGCUCCUGCUGCAUGGUGGGGGUUGGAAAGUUUCGGCGGUUGGGGAUGGACUCGCGGCUUAUCAGCUUGUUGGUGGGGUAGUGGCUUACCAAGGCUUUGACGGGUAGCCGGCCUGAGAGGGUGACCGGCCACAUUGGGACUGAGAUACGGCCCAGACUCCUACGGGAGGCAGCAGUGGGGAAUAUUGCACAAUGGGCGGAAGCCUGAUGCAGCAACGCCGCGUGCGGGAUGACGGCCUUCGGGUUGUAAACCGCUUUCGCCUGUGACGAAGCGUGAGUGACGGUAAUGGGUAAAGAAGCACCGGCUAACUACGUGCCAGCAGCCGCGGUGAUACGUAGGGUGCGAGCGUUGUCCGGAUUUAUUGGGCGUAAAGGGCUCGUAGGUGGUUGAUCGCGUCGGAAGUGUAAUCUUGGGGCUUAACCCUGAGCGUGCUUUCGAUACGGGUUGACUUGAGGAAGGUAGGGGAGAAUGGAAUUCCUGGUGGAGCGGUGGAAUGCGCAGAUAUCAGGAGGAACACCAGUGGCGAAGGCGGUUCUCUGGGCCUUUCCUGACGCUGAGAAGCGAAAGCGUGGGGAGCGAACAGGCUUAGAUACCCUGGUAGUCCACGCUGUAAACGGUGGGUACUAGGUGUGGGGUCCAUUCCACGGGUUCCGUGCCGUAGCUAACGCUUUAAGUACCCCGCCUGGGGAGUACGGCCGCAAGGCUAAAACUCAAAGGAAUUGACGGGGCCCCGCACAAGCGGCGGAGCAUGCGGAUUAAUUCGAUGCAACGCGUAGAACCUUACCUGGGUUUGACAUGGAUCGGGAGUGCUCAGAGAUGGGUGUGCCUCUUUUGGGGUCGGUUCACAGGUGGUGCAUGGCUGUCGUCAGCUCGUGUCGUGAGGUGUUGGGUUAAGUCCCGCAACGAGCGCAACCCUUGUUCACUGUUGCCAGCACGUUAUGGUGGGGACUCAGUGGAGACCGCCGGGGUCAACUCGGAGGAAGGUGGGGAUGACGUCAAGUCAUCAUGCCCCUUAUGUCCAGGGCUUCACGCAUGCUACAAUGGCUGGUACAGAGAGUGGCGAGCCUGUGAGGGUGAGCGAAUCUCGGAAAGCCGGUCUCAGUUCGGAUUGGGGUCUGCAACUCGACCUCAUGAAGUCGGAGUCGCUAGUAAUCGCAGAUCAGCAACGCUGCGGUGAAUACGUUCCCGGGGCUUGUACACACCGCCCGUCAAGUCAUGGAAGUUGGUAACACCCGAAGCCGGUGGCCUAACCGUUGUGGGGGAGCCGUCGAAGGUGGGACUGGUGAUUAGGACUAAGUCAUAA